rnacentral:tRNA from 1 species
ACCUUAACUUUUUUCGGAUAGCUUAGCCGGUAAAGCCUUUGACGCAUAACCAAACGGUACAGGGUUCGAAUCCUGGUCUGGGUU